rnacentral:rRNA from 1 species
AGCUUGCUUCUAUGACGUUAGCGGCGGACGGGUGAGUAACACGUGGGCAACCUGCCUGUAAGACUGGGAUAACUUCGGGAAACCGAAGCUAAUACCGGAUAGGAUCUUCUCCUUCAUGGGAGAUGAUUGAAAGAUGGUUUCGGCUAUCACUUACAGAUGGGCCCGCGGUGCAUUAGCUAGUUGGUGAGGUAACGGCUCACCAAGGCAACGAUGCAUAGCCGACCUGAGAGGGUGAUCGGCCACACUGGGACUGAGACACGGCCCAGACUCCUACGGGAGGCAGCAGUAGGGAAUCUUCCGCAAUGGACGAAAGUCUGACGGAGCAACGCCGCGUGAGUGAUGAAGGCUUUCGGGUCGUAAAACUCUGUUGUUAGGGAAGAACAAGUACRAGAGUAACUGCUYGUACCUUGACGGUACCUAACCAGAAAGCCACGGCUAACUACGUGCCAGCAGCCGCGGUAAUACGUAGGUGGCAAGCGUUAUCCGGAAUUAUUGGGCGUAAAGCGCGCGCAGGCGGUUUCUUAAGUCUGAUGUGAAAGCC